GUUGGAGACACAGCAACUGAAGUAAUAGUGGCACCUGCCUGGAGCAAGGAAAGGACAAAUUUGACAUAACCCAGAGUGCAUUUAGUAGAAAAUAGAGGCAGAACAGUCUCAGCUAAGGAUAUACAGCUGUAGUCUCCACCAGAGACCAGGCUGAACAGGAGACUUUCAGUCAUCUGGGCACAUUUCAAGAUUCAUCUCUUUCUGUUGUCAGUUUACUAGCAGGGCGGAGGAAAAACUGAAUGCCAAGCGUGACUUCAAUUGCAUAAUCUAUCUAUCAGUGGAGACUUCAGGCUCAUUGAAGGGAAGAACUCAGUCAUCACAGGUUAAAAGCAAGG